rnacentral:rRNA from 1 species
AUGAACGCUGGCGGCGUGCCUCAUACAUGCAAGUCGCGCGAACAGAUAAGGAGCUUGCUCCUUUGACGUUAGCGGCGGACGGGUGAGUAACACGUGGGUAACCUACCUAUAAGACUGGGAUAACUUCGGGAAACCGGAGCUAAUACCGGAUAACAUUUGGAACCGCAUGGUUCUAAAGUGAAAGAUGGUUUUGCUAUCACUUAUAGAUGGACCCGCGCCGUAUUAGCUAGUUGGUAAGGUAACGGCUUACCAAGGCAACGAUACGUAGCCGACCUGAGAGGGUGAUCGGCCACACUGGAACUGAGACACGGUCCAGACUCCUACGGGAGGCAGCAGUAGGGAAUCUUCCGCAAUGGGCGAAAGCCUGACGGAGCAACGCCGCGUGAGUGAUGAAGGGUUUCGGCUCGUAAAACUCUGUUAUUAGGGAAGAACAAACGUGUAAGUAACUGUGCACGUCUUGACGGUACCUAAUCAGAAAGCCACGGCUAACUACGUG